rnacentral:tRNA from 1 species
AGCAAAGUGGCCGAGAUUCCAGGCAAAAGAUUGUAGCUCUUUUUACGGGCACACCCCUUUGCACA